rnacentral:rRNA from 1 species
AUUGAACGCUGGCGGCAGGCCUAACACAUGCAAGUCGAGCGGAGCGGCGGACGGGUGAGUAAUGCCUAGGUCUCUGCCUGGUCGUGGUGGAUAACGUCCGGAAAUGGGCGCUAAUACCGCUUACUCUCAGCUUAGCCUAGGUCGGAUUAGCUUGUUGGUGGGGUAAAGGCCUACCAAGGCGACGAUCCGUAGCUGGUCUGAGAGGAUGAUCAGUCACACUGGAACUGAGACACGGUCCAGACUCCUACGGGAGGCAGCAGUGGGGAAUAUUGGACAAUGGGCGAAAGCCUGAUCCAGCCAUGCCGCGUGUGUGAAGAAGGUCUUCGGAUUGUAAAGCACUUUAAGUUGGGAGGCGUUACCAACAGAAGAAGCACCGGCUAACUUCGUGCCAGCAGCCGCGGUAAUAC